CAGUAGCCACGGGAAUACAGAGGGUGCGAGCGUUAAUCGGAUUUACUGGGCGUAAAGCGUGCGUAGGCGGCUUCUUAAGUCGGAUGUGAAAUCCCUGAGCUUAACUUAGGAAUUGCAUUCGAUACUGGGAAGCUAGAGUAUGGGAGAGGAUGGUAGAAUUCCAGGUGUAGCGGUGAAAUGCGUAGAGAUCUGGAGGAAUACCGAUGGCGAAGGCAGCCAUCUGGCCUAAUACUGACGCUGAGGUACGAAAGCGUGGGGAGCAAACAGGAUUAGAUACCCCCGUAGUCCCUGUCUCUUAUAC
rnacentral:rRNA from 1 species